UUGGGACAGAGACCUAUGUCCUGCAAUGCUGAACUAUUUACCAUCUGGUCCUCAAGAGAAAGGAAAAAAAAUGCUGAUCCUUGUACCCUGACAGUCUUAGGUUAAGAGGACUUUGUACCACCCUGAUGUCCCAGGGGGCCAUGAGUCCAGCCACCCUUGAAAUGUACACGAGUCUGGGCUAGGGUUGCAACAGAUAACCUUCACUCUUCUCUGCAUCGAAUCCCAAAAGUAUGUAGUUGAGCUGACUGCAAGGUGCUUAACAUGCAAGAGACUCCACAAAUGGGAUUCGGCCUCUGGAAAGUGGUGGUAGUUCCAGAUUUAUGUGGAUGUUACUUUGUUUUUCCCUAUAAAAUCUAUUAUUUAAACU